UGGGGAAUUUUGGACAAUGGGCGAAAGCCUGAUCCAGCAAUGCCGCGUGUGUGAAGAAGGCCUUCGGGUUGUAAAGCACUUUUGUCCGGAAAGAAAUCCUUGGCUCUAAUACAGUCGGGGGAUGACGGUACCGGAAGAAUAAGCACCGGCUAACUACGUGCCAGCAGCCGCGGUAAUACGUAGGGUGCAAGCGUUAAUCGGAAUUACUGGGCGUAAAGCGUGCGCAGGCGGUUUGCUAAGACCGAUGUGAAAUCCCCGGGCUCAACCUGGGAACUGCAUUGGUGACUGGCAGGCUAGAGUAUGGCAGAGGGGGGUAGAAUUCCACGUGUAGCAGUGAAAUGCGUAGAGAUGUGGAGGAAUACCGAUGGCGAAGGCAGCCCCCUGGGCCAAUACUGACGCUCAUGCACGAAAGCGUGGGGAGCAAACAGGAUUAGAUACCCUGGUAGUCCACGCCCUAAACGAUGUCAACUAGUUGUUGGGGAUUCAUUUCCUUAGUAACGUAGCUAACGCGUGAAGUUGACCGCCUGGGGAGUACGGUCGCAAGAUUAAAACUCAAAGGAAUUGACGGGGCCAUAGCUGUUUCCU
rnacentral:rRNA from 1 species